rnacentral:rRNA from 1 species
AAUGAACGUUGGCGGCGUGGAUUAGGCAUGCAAGUCGAGCGGAGCGCAGCAAUGUGCUUAGCGGCGGAAGGGAUAGUAACGCGUAGAUAACCAACCCCUCGGUCAGGGAUAGCCGUUGGAAACGACGGGUAAUACCUGAUAACAUCCCCGGAUCAAAGGUGAGAUUCCGCCGGGGGACGGGUCUGCGUCCUACUAGCUAGUUGGUGAGGUAACGGCCCACCAAGGCGACGAUGGGUACCGGGCGUCAGAGCGUGACCCGGAUCACUGGGACUGAGACACUGCCCAGACACCUACGGGUGGCUGCAGUCGAGAAUCUUCGGCAAUGGACGAAAGUCUGACCGAGCGACGCCGCGUGCGGGACGAAGGCCUUCGGGUUGUAAACCGCUGUCAAGUUGGAGGAAAUGCAUGGGGGUUCUCCCCUGUGUUUGACCGAAAGCCAAAGGAAGGACGGGCUAAGUUCGUGCCAGCAGCCGCGGUAAUACGAACCGUCCAAACGUUAUUCGGAAUCACUGGGCUUAAAGGGUGCGUAGGCGGUGUUGCCAGUCAGGUGUGAAAUCCCUCAGUUUAACUGAGGAACUGCGCUUGAAACUGCAACGCUUGAGGGAGAUAGAGGUAAACGGAACAGAUGGUGGAGCGGUGAAAUGCGUUGAUAUUAUCUGGAACACCAGUUGCGAAAGCGGUUUACUGGGUCUUUUCUGACGCUGAGGCACGAAAGCCAGGGGAGCGAACGGGAUUAGAUACCCCGGUAGUCCUGGCUGUAAACGAUCUGUACUGGGUAGGAGGACGCUCCAUUGUUUUCCUGCCGUAGCGAAAGUGUUAAGUACAGCGCCUGGGGAGUAUGGUCGCAAGGCUGAAACUCAAAGAAAUUGACGGGGGCUCACACAAGCGGUGGAGGAUGUGGCUUAAUUCGAGGCUACGCGAAGAACCUUAUCCUGGUCUUGACAUGGUUCGUUCAGACGGUGAAAGUCGUUGUUCCGCAAGGAAGAGAAUCACAGGUGCUGCAUGGCUGUCGUCAGCUCGUGUCGUGAGAUGUCGGGUUAAGUCCCUUAACGAGCGAAACCCUUGUCGCUAGUUGCCAGCAUUCAGUUGGGUACUCUAGCGAGACUGCCGGUGUUAAACCGGAGGAAGGUGGGGAUGACGUCAAGUCCUCAUGGCCUUUAUGAUCAGGGCUGCACACGUCCUACAAUGCGUCAUACAGAGCGUCGCGACCCUGUGAGGGGAAGUCAAUCGCCAAAAGUGACGCCCAGUUCGGAUUGCAGGCUGCAACUCGCCUGCAUGAAGCCGGAAUCGCUAGUAAUCGCGGGUCAGCAUACCGCGGUGAAUGUGUUCCUGAGCCUUGUACACACCGCCCGUCAAGCCACGAAAGUGGGGGGCAUCCGAAGUCGCCGAGCCAACCGUCAAGGAGGCAAGCGCCGAAGAUGAACUCCGCGAUUGGGACU